rnacentral:rRNA from 1 species
GUAGGGUGCGAGCGUUAAUCGGAAUUACUGGGCGUAAAGGGUGCGCAGGCGGCUCCGCAUGUCGGGCGUGAAAUCCCCGGGCUUAACCUGGGAAUUGCGUCCGAAACUAUGGAGCUGGAGUGUGGCAGAGGGAGGUGGAAUUCCACGUGUAGCGGUGAAAUGCGUAGAGAUGUGGAGGAACACCGAUGGCGAAGGCAGCCUCCUGGGCCAACACUGACGCUCAUGCACGAAAGCGUGGGGAGCAAACAGGAUUAGAUACCCUGGUAGUCCACGCCCUAAACGAUGAUGACUAGUUGUUGGAGGAGUUAAAUCCUUUAGUAACGCAGCUAACGCGCGAAGUCAUCCGCCUGGGGAGUACGGUCGCAAGAUUAAA